AUUGAACGCUGGCGGCAGGCUUAACACAUGCAAGUCGAGCGGAGUGAUGGUGCUUGCACUAUCACUUAGUGGCGGACGGGUGAGUAAUGCUUAGGAAUCUGCCAUUUAGUGGGGGACAACAUUCCGAAAGGAAUGCUAAUACCGCCUACGUCCUACGGGAGAAAGCAGGGGAUCUUCGGACCGUGCGCUAACUGAUGAGCAUAAGGCGGAUUAGCUAGUUGGUGGGGUAAAGGCCUACCAAGGCGACGGUCUGUAGCGGGUCUGAGAGGAUGAUCCGCCACACUGGGACUGAGACACGGCCCAGACUCCUACGAGAGGCAGCAGUGGGGAAUAUUGGACAAUGGGCGGAAGCCUGAUCCAGCCAUGCCGCGUGUGUGAAGAAGGCCUUUUGGUUGUAAAGCACUUUAAGCGAGGAGGAGGCUACUAGUACUAAUACUACUGGAUAGUGGACGUUACUCGCAGAAUAAGCACCGGCUAACUCUGUGCCAGCAGCCGCCGUAAGAC
rnacentral:rRNA from 1 species